UCGUUCCAAUCCCGAUCGACCUCUUCCUAUCCAUUCCAUCGCACCUCCCCUAGUGAGCUCGGCCUCCCGAGCUCGAUCCCAAAUCCACUCUCCCUCUCCAUUCCCCAUCGCGCCGCCCCUAGUGAGUUUGGCCUCCCGAGCUCGAUCCCUAAUCCACUCUCCCUCUCCAUUCGCCAUCGCGCCGCCCCUAGUGCGCUCGGCCUCCCGCCAUGUGUCCAUUCGCCCCGUGCAAGCCGCCACCUCCCCCACCGGCACCGCCACCGCCGCCCUCCACCUUCCCCAUCGGAAGCGAUGCCCUAUGCACACCUUCCACAUCGCCAGCAGUGCCUCAUCCGCUCGUCCCGCCCCGCAUCUGGUCGCCGAUGGACCACCCCUCCGCGGCACGUCAUCGUCUCCUACACCCAGCGCCACCAUGAUGGGAGGAUCAGCAUGGGCGCCCGGCUGUGCCUAGUCUCGAAACGAGCAGCAGGCUGCGUGCAGCCAUGCCUGAACAAUGGUAGGGGUGCGACGCGUGGAUGGUCCCGGCCACAUGAGGAUUGAUGGGGGAGGGGCGCCACGAAAGCCGCUGUGGCUUGAUGAAGGCGAAGGGACCUGCCAUGAUAAGGAGGUUGCACAUUCGACGCACCUCGGCUGCCGCCCCGCCUUUCCCGGACGCGCAAAUAGCGGCCGUCGAUACGCAGGUGCCCUUCAGCAGCAGUUCGGAAUGCCACUCUAUGGGUGCGCGCGCGAAGGCGAAGCCGACCAGGGUGGCACACAGAUUUGGAUGCAUAGCUCGCAGCAGCCGCAUUGGUCCUGUUCGACUCGGACAUAGCGGUGGAGGCGGUGAGGUACGCGGCGAGAUGGCUUUGGUGACGGCUAGGUUGACGACGACAGGAUGCAAAGGGAGUAUCCGACGGCGAAGACGAUAAGGAAGGAGGUGAGCCGGAGGGAAAAUUGUAGCUGUUGGCCAAAAGAUGGUUCUUGUGUUUUACACUUUACAAAUUGGAUUCUUCUAUAUGGAUUUUGGUCUCAUCUCGAAAUCCAUGCAAAGAAGUAAGUUCUGGUGUUUAUUCACGUUCUAGUGGCUUUGACCAACAAACAAGUGGCUUUCAACAACGGUAUGAGAGCUUCAAACAGCAACAGCCUACAACCACAAGGAAACCUGACACCUAUGCAUCAGAAAGUGCUUUAGAGGACAGACUUUUGUGCCCCAUUUGCAUGUAUAAAUUGAUGGACCUCGCGUUUGGAUGUGGACAUCAGACUUGCGAUAUGGAACGCUGCCCUCUAUGCCAGCAGCACAUAACACAAAGAUCAGGCUCUACUGAUGCCAUGAAGCUUUUGGAAGAAACUCCUACGCAAAAUGUUCAGACCAGC